CAAGGACAGGAGAGGAAAAGGGGCGGCGGACAGAGGGGCUGAAGGGCAAGAAAAAGGGAGAAAAAUCUGAAAAAAGUGAGAGAGAGAGCAAGAGUGAUAGAGCAAACAAGAAGAAAUUUAGAACAAUAAGAAACAAGAAACGAAAGUUUUGACAAAAAAAAAAAAAAAAGAAACAAGAAACGAAAGAAGAAAGAGCUGGGGCAGGGAAAAAACUAAGAAAAAGCGGAACCAGUAGCCAAAGGAAAAUCAACGAACCGGGGAGGAGUUGCUGCCACUUGAAUCCACCUCCACCGCCGUUAUACCUUGCUAGAAAAUACUGUAAUGCUUUCUUUUUCUUGUCCUUUCCUACUUUUAAUUUCUGCCAAUGAACGUAUGGAGCUGUGAGAAAUAUUGGCUUAUUUGUUUCAUUUCCUUUUUCUUAACAAACUGUUUCCAUGUUUUUGAUGUUUAUGUGUUGAUUACAAGAUAAGUUAUGGUUGGGUUGUGAUUUUUGGAUCUGCUAUAGUGAGAUUUGAGGGGGUUAGUUAAAAUUUAUUCGUGUACAUAACUUGUUUGAAGAAAUGUCUAAAAGAAAACUUUGGAUCAAGAUAGCAAAAUUGAUGAAUCUUGUGUGUCCGUGUGCGUGAGGAGCAUCUCCGAUCAGUCCAAAACUUGCCGGAGCUCGUUGAUUUUUGUGGCAAGAAAUAAGAGUUUUGAGAGAUUUUCAUGUUCGGACAUUCUUUCUUACAUUCUGUUUCUGUUCUUUUUAUUAUCCUUUCCUUUGUAUGAACUUGGGUUAUGUUGUGAGAUUGUGUGAGACGGGGUUUGUGUGAGUCUCAUUUUCUUUGCGGAAUGGCUAGAGUUGAAGUUGGAUGUUCUGAUGUUUUUCCGUCUGUGAAGAAGGGCGAAAUGGCAGCCUAAUGUUGAGCUUUUGUUGCCGGGUUCUUGAACCAUUUCCCUUCCCUUUGCUACGUUGGGUUUCAGAUGAUUUCCUUGCCCAUGAAUCUUGUUGUGUUGGUGAAUCUUUGAUGAUUGAAUGAUGGAAGUAGAGCCCAUGAAUUGCAUGAUCUUGUUACCUUACUGUUUGCUUCGGGUAGUUGAUGAACAAAAAGAAAAGAAAGUUGCAGAAAGAAAGCUUUCGGUUGAAGAAGAAAGCUUCGUUGGGUUGCCUGAAAUAUUUUUAAAAAAUUACACUUUAACCCCCUGAUUUUUCAACUAAUGCCACUAUAGCCCAGAAAUUGGAAAAUUUAAUCAUUUAUGCCCUUUUCAAUGUUAAUUUUUCUUUGGCAUGUUUUUGCGUGAUUUUUGAAUAGAUUAUUGGUGAAUUUUAGAAUGAAUUUUGAAGUUUAAUAAUUUUUUAUAGUUUUAUAGCUUUUAAUUCAGAUUUUUUAUAAACAUGGUUAAGAUUUGAGUAAUAUUUUUUGUUUGGGGUGUGGUGAGAGGGUUUUGAUCCAUUGUUGUGAAUUUUAGUAUUUGAUUUUGGUAUGUUUCAUCUUAAACCCUAAUUUUAUUUUAUUUUAAUUUAGACCCCUAAUAUGUGUAAUAAUAGUGAUUUGCCAAAACUUCUUUAAUUCUUUUAAUUGGAUCAUUGUUUGUUUUAAUUUGUUAAAUAUGGGUUGUUUACUUUCAUUUGAAUGCUCUGAUUGAUUCAAUUUCGUGUCCAUUUCCAUUUCUUGUAAUUGUUUGUUAAUUAAAGUGAUGCCUUGACCUUUUUAUUUGUUUUUGGAGGGUAAAUAAGAAAAUUUCCAUUUCCUUAGGUCACCAAUUCAAGGGAGGUAUACUCUAUCCUCUAUUUUUAUUUUAUCUUAUUUGAUCCUAUGUGCCCUUAUGUGACUUUUAUGUGUAAUUGCAGGCCCUUUUGAAUGUUUUUAUUUCAUUUAUUUAUUGUUUUGAUUUUGUAUAUUUCUUUUAAUUUAAUUUAAUUUUUAAUUAUUUGGAAGGCAAUUAAAUGCCAAAAUUGUAAUAGUAAGGUUAUUAUUUUAUUUUAUUCUUUACUCUUUUAGAUUGUAGCUAGGGCCCUCCAAAUGUAAUAGUUAGGUUAUUAUUUUAUUUCAUUCUUUAUCCCAUUUAGAUUGUAAUUAGGACCCCCGAAUGUAAUAGUUAGGUCUUUAUUUGCUUUAUUUCCUUUAUGUGCUUUGCAUGCUUAUGUGUUUACGUGUUACUCGCUUUCUUAGAGUCUUGCAUCUAAAUAUCAUGUUUAUGUGCUAUGUGUUAUAUGUGAUUUAUGUGUUUAUUUGCUUUAUUAUGCUUUACAUGAUUUAUUUGAGUGUAAUAGAUGCAUGACGUCACCACACUAGUCCAAAGUUAGUUGUGGUCCUUUUUUCCGCUUUCUCACUAAUCCAAUGCUAGUGAGAAUGUAAAGACAUGGGUUAGUCCAACGCUAAACCCUUAGGGACCAUCCAAGCGUUAGAUCAUGUUUGUGUGUGACAAAUCAUUACAUUUUCAUGCAUAUUUUCUAUCUUUAGGGUUUUAUCAUUUUGCAUUACAUUUCCCUUAUAUGUAUAUCCUUUAUCCAUAUUUUCUUUAUAUGUAUAUUCCUUACCCCUAUGUAUGAAUUAUGACAUUAGAUUUGCAUUUCAUUUAAGGAAAGUUAGAACUAGGAUAGAUCAUUUUGCUUGAUUAGAUAGGAGAAAUACCCCUCAAAUAUGGGAUAUGGACGAGUGUGGUUUUUUAAUCUUAGCACGCUCGUAUUCCCUUUAUUAAAGGGAAAAUUAAAGUUACGAGUAUGAGUUCCCCGCACCCAUUAUGAUGUAUUCCCUUAGGUCAUGUAUAUUUGUAUAUUAUUAUAUUUUUUUCUUUCUUUUCUUCAAGUCUCAUCUUUUGCAAAUUUUGUGACGUCUUCAAAGAGUCACUUUUGAACAUUGUAAUUAGUGCGAUUAGCGCCAACUGAGCUUUGAAAAGACAUAUUGACCCUUCUGAUAACCAUUAGAUCUAGGUUUGCAUUUAUAUAGUGACUCCAAAUGUGAUAAAUUUUUAGGUUAGAAUAAGAAAAUUUUUGACUAAAUCAUGCAACUAGUCUUGGCUAAGUUGAAAGGGUGCAUUGGAUUUUAUCCUUGCCUUCCCUUUCUUCAACUGUGACUCUCGAAUUCUUUUUUCAAAAGGUGCGUAAAAGGAUUUUUUCAACUUUUUCUUAAAAGUUCAUUUUAGCUGACUUGGUACACUUUAACUCAAUACCAAGCGGCGACUCCUAUUUUUCAUUAAAAAUUCUUUUCAACUAUUAUUUUUGCGUCAAAAUCGUCACACUUUUUAGUCCCGUUUAGGCACAUGCUUUUAUUCAUUUUUCUAAAAAAAUCAAAACUCAUUUUCCAAACAAAAUUAAUCAAAAUUUAUUUUUUCAUUAAAAAUACAUUUUUCUCAAAAUUAAUCAACAAAUUCAUAAACAUUUUAUUUUCCAUUUAAAAAGUGGGACGCGACAAUUUGGGUUGAGAGGUCUUCAUAAAAAAUGAAGAUCUAUGUCUUAAUUUCGAAACGCCAUAAGAUUCAUCUCAAUCCGAUAAAUAUAGUUUCAGUUGUAAUUAAAAUGUCAAAAGGUGAGAGGAACUUGAUGAUUUUAGAAUUUCCUUUGCUUGGCGUGAUAUUUGUCUUCUAGGACUUGGACUUGAGCAAGGAAACUAUCUAUGAUGGAUAAGAAUCAUGAGCUGUGGUUGGUGAGUGAUUCCAAAACUGUUUCCAAAAUCACUUUUCGAACUAUUUCUUGCACUGUUUAUUCGAUUGCAUAUCAUGUGUGCUUGCGUGUGUGCAAUGCAAUGACUUGGCUCAAAUGAGUGUUUGGAAGUCUUGUACUUAACACCAACGUCUCCACCUUAAUGACACUUGACUUGCCUUGAAUGUUGGAGCAUCGAUGGCUCCCUUGUAUUGCUUGACUGUAACUUGAUCUAUUUGAGCGUUGGAUGUUUAAGUACAAUGAUUUCACUAGCUCACAAGAGUAAUAAACUUACAUUUGAUCACUGAUUCAUGACAUCAUCUAAAUGCCUUAUUGUGAAACUUAUUUGAUUAUUGAUUUUUUACUGGACACUCGCUGAGUUUCUAACUCACCCCAAAAUAUUUAUUUCCUCUCCACAGGAUUCGGGGCAAAUGAAACACUUGUAUUAACUUAUUAGUGUGAUUGGAUGGAAUAUCUCAUGUAUAUUUUGAAUUUCGAUUCACUUGUGGUAUGUAAAUUCGUG
rnacentral:lncRNA from 1 species